GGUGCUUGAAGUUGUCAUAGCUACACCAUUUUAUGAAUACGUAGUGCAGAUAAAAACAGUAGCUUGCAAAAACAUUACGUAACAGAUGACGUCACAGCUCAAGGUUGAUAACGUGGUCGCCAAAACACGGAAAUACGUUCAUGUUGUCAGCCGAUAAUGGAUUUAUAAGCUCACACGAAUGUUGCUCACAAGUGAAAGGACGCGGGAAAAAUGCGUGGAUCUUUUUUCAGCAACAGAUAUUCUAGUUCCAGGAAACGAAUAUUUAAACUGAUAUUGGCACCAGUUGUUACUGUGUAUCUGUUAUUUCAACUAGUGAUCACAGCUAAAACGUCAGGAACCAGUUUUAAUGUACGACGUCAUAGACUCGCUAAACAGGUAUCGUCUUAAUUAAUACAGUAUGGAAACAAAUAAUAUUAUUUCAGUUAUAUCUACUUGAAUUUCUUAACAUUUAUUAUUCACAUUAAAUGCAAUUUACCAACUUAAAAAAAUAAUAUUUUUUUGUAUUUUGUUAUUACCAAAUUGAACCUGUUUUGUUUCCGAGUGAUUAAGUUCUUUAACUUCACACCGCUUGUCUCUUAACGUUUUGAGUUCGAAUCCCGCCAGUGGCUUUCGAUUUUUUUCAUUUGAGUAAUCUAUACAUGCAGGCAAGCUUAAGGAACGUCGGUGGUUCUAGUCAGGUGCCCUUUAUUUUCUGCAAUAAUGUACGGAUGAGCACACUAGAUUCUUCUUCACCAGUAAAGCUGGGAAGUCGCCAUUUGAUCUAUAUUGUAUUAGUUCGACGUAAAACCCAACAAAAAAAGAAUUAACAACAUGGCCUUGAUAAUGACAACGAUAUGCAAUUUACCUAUUUAGAUCAUUGAAAGUGUGUUCCUAAUUUGUACCUAUUUGGUUACAUACAAUGGACUCUUUGUAGAAGAAUGCCGAUAUUGUACACACGUAAUAAGCUGUUUAGGUUGCAAUAUUUAACCUACAUGUUAUUGUGUGAAAUCUUGUUAAAAAUUAAUAAAACUGUUUGGAAAUUUGAACUUGUAAUAUUUUGCUAGUAUAAAUUUUAACUCAAUAGAUACAAUUAGGGUCAAAACGUUUUAUUCAGUGAAUGUGCGCGUUUAUAUAUAGAUAUAUUAUGACAUUUAGUGUCAAUAUUGACCAAAAAUGAGUAACGAUCGGGCGCCAAUAUCUUGAAAAAAUCGUUUGUAAACAGCUUUUUAAUAGAACUUUAUGUCUCUAAGUAAAUAAACAUUUAAAGAUACUAAGUUAUUUGAAACACCAGCCACAGUAUUUCUUAAGAAAACUUCACAUUUUGUUUCCGUACGCUAGGGUGAAACAAAUACCAGUUGUUAAAACUAUUGAAUGAUUCUGUCGUCGAGGUCUUACUUUUAUAUGUUUAGCUUAUGUUGGUAUUCAAAGAAAAAACCCUACAGUGAACAAACAAGGCCUAUCAAACAAAUUGAUAAUAUUGGGAAUAUUUAAAUAUUUUCUAUAUAUUAGGUCGGACACGAUAUAACGUUUACAUUAUUUAUCUGUCCUACUAUUGUCAGAAUAUAGAAGAAUAAAACUGGGUAUGGAGAUGUUAGAUAAUUCAGAUUAUGAAGAAUUCAUGUUAUGAAAAUGUUACGUUUCGAGUUCAAAUCUGCAAGUGUGCACAUUUUUUAGUAUGGUUUUUAUUUUCAGAACGGGUUUUAUACUGUGUCACGUAACUUUUAGUUUUCU